AUUGAACGCUGGCGGCAGGCCUAACACAUGCAAGUCGGACGGUAGCACAGAGAGCUUGCUCUCGGGUGACGAGUGGCGGACGGGUGAGUAAUGUCUGGGGAUCUGCCCGAUAGAGGGGGAUAACCACUGGAAACGGUGGCUAAUACCGCAUAACGUCGCAAGACCAAAGCGGGGGACCUUCGGGCCUCUCACUAUCGGAUGAACCCAGAUGGGAUUAGCUAGUAGGCGGGGUAACGGCCCACCUAGGCGACGAUCCCUAGCUGGUCUGAGAGGAUGACCAGCCACACUGGAACUGAGACACGGUCCAGACUCCUACGGGAGGCAGCAGUGGGGAAUAUUGCACAAUGGGCGCAAGCCUGAUGCAGCCAUGCCGCGUGUAUGAAGAAGGCCUUCGGGUUGUAAAGUACUUUCAGCGGGGAGGAAGGCGAUAAGGUUAAUAACCUUGUCGAUUGACGUUACCCGCAGAAGAAGCACCGGCUAACUCCGUGCCAGCAGCCGCCGUAA
rnacentral:rRNA from 1 species